rnacentral:rRNA from 1 species
CCUACGGGAGGCAGCAGUGGGGAAUAUUGGACAAUGGGCGCAAGCCUGAUCCAGCCAUGCCGCGUGAGUGAUGAAGGCCUUAGGGUUGUAAAGCUCUUUUGCCGGGGACGAUAAUGACGGUACCCGGAGAAUAAGUCCCGGCUAACUUCGUGCCAGCAGCCGCGGUAAU